rnacentral:rRNA from 2 species
AUUCACAUGGAACGAGUGGCGGACGGGUGAGUAACACGUGGGUAACCUGCCCUUAAGUGGGGGAUAACAUUUGGAAACAGAUGCUAAUACCGCAUAGAUCCAAGAACCGCAUGGUUCUUGGCUGAAAGAUGGCGUAAGCUAUCGCUUUUGGAUGGACCCGCGGCGUAUUAGCUAGUUGGUGAGGUAAUGGCUCACCAAGGCGAUGAUACGUAGCCGAACUGAGAGGUUGAUCGGCCACAUUGGGACUGAGACACGGCCCAAACUCCUACGGGAGGCAGCAGUAGGGAAUCUUCCACAAUGGACGCAAGUCUGAUGGAGCAACGCCGCGUGAGUGAAGAAGGCUUUCGGGUCGUAAAACUCUGUUGUUGGAGAAGAAUGGUCGGCAGAGUAACUGUUGUCGGCGUGACGGUAUCCAACCAGAAAGCCACGGCUAACUACGUGCCAGCAGCCGCGGUAAUACGUAGGUGGCAAGCGUUAUCCGGAUUUAUUGGGCGUAAAGCGAGCGCAGGCGGUUUUUUAAGUCUGAUGUGAAAGCCCUCGGCUUAACCGAGGAAGCGCAUCGGAAACUGGGAAACUUGAGUGCAGAAGAGGACAGUGGAACUCCAUGUGUAGCGGUGAAAUGCGUAGAUAUAUGGAAGAACACCAGUGGCGAAGGCGGCUGUCUGGUCUGUAACUGACGCUGAGGCUCGAAAGCAUGGGUAGCGAACAGGAUUAGAUACCCUGGUAGUCCAUGCCGUAAACGAUGAAUGCUAGGUGUUGGAGGGUUUCCGCCCUUCAGUGCCGCAGCUAACGCAUUAAGCAUUCCGCCUGGGGAGUACGACCGCAAGGUUGAACUCAAAGGAAUUGACGGGGGCCCGCACAAGCGGUGGAGCAUGUGGUUUAAUUCGAAGCACGCGAAGAACCUUACCAGGUCUUGACAUCUUUUGAUCACUGAGAGAUCAGUUUCCCCUCGGGGGCAAAUGACAGGUGGUGCAGGUUGUCGUC